rnacentral:tRNA from 1 species
GGGGUCGUAGCUCAGUUGGUAGAGCGCCUGCUUUGCAAGCAGGAUGUCGCGAGUUCGAAUCUCGCCGACUCCACCA